rnacentral:rRNA from 1 species
UUAAAUUGAAGAGUUUGAUCAUGGCUCAGAUUGAACGCUGGCGGCAGGCCUAACACAUGCAAGUCGAACGGUAACAGAAAGCAGCUUGCUGCUUUGCUGACGAGUGGCGGACGGGUGAGUAAUGUCUGGGAAACUGCCUGAUGGAGGGGGAUAACUACUGGAAACGGUAGCUAAUACCGCAUAACGUCGCAAGACCAAAGAGGGGGACCUUCGGGCCUCUUGCCAUCGGAUGUGCCCAGAUGGGAUUAGCUUGUUGGUGGGGUAACGGCUCACCAAGGCGACGAUCCCUAGCUGGUCUGAGAGGAUGACCAGCCACACUGGAACUGAGACACGGUCCAGACUCCUACGGGAGGCAGCAGUGGGGAAUAUUGCACAAUGGGCGCAAGCCUGAUGCAGCCAUGCCGCGUGUAUGAAGAAGGCCUUCGGGUUGUAAAGUACUUUCAGCGGGGAGGAAGGGAGUAAAGUUAAUACCUUUGCUCAUUGACGUUACCCGCAGAAGAAGCACCGGCUAACUCCGUGCCAGCAGCCGCGGUAAUACGGAGGGUGCAAGCGUUAAUCGGAAUUACUGGGCGUAAAGCGCACGCAGGCGGUUUGUUAAGUCAGAUGUGAAAUCCCCGGGCUCAACCUGGGAACUGCAUCUGAUACUGGCAAGCUUGAGUCUCGUAGAGGGGGGUAGAAUUCCAGGUGUAGCGGUGAAAUGCGUAGAGAUCUGGAGGAAUACCGGUGGCGAAGGCGGCCCCCUGGACGAAGACUGACGCUCAGGUGCGAAAGCGUGGGGAGCAAACAGGAUUAGAUACCCUGGUAGUCCACGCCGUAAACGAUGUCGACUUGGAGGUUGUGCCCUUGAGGCGUGGCUUCCGGAGCUAACGCGUUAAGUCGACCGCCUGGGGAGUACGGCCGCAAGGUUAAAACUCAAAUGAAUUGACGGGGGCCCGCACAAGCGGUGGAGCAUGUGGUUUAAUUCGAUGCAACGCGAAGAACCUUACCUGGUCUUGACAUCCACAGAACUUUCCAGAGAUGGAUUGGUGCCUUCGGGAACUGUGAGACAGGUGCUGCAUGGCUGUCGUCAGCUCGUGUUGUGAAAUGUUGGGUUAAGUCCCGCAACGAGCGCAACCCUUAUCCUUUGUUGCCAGCGGUCCGGCCGGGAACUCAAAGGAGACUGCCAGUGAUAAACUGGAGGAAGGUGGGGAUGACGUCAAGUCAUCAUGGCCCUUACGACCAGGGCUACACACGUGCUACAAUGGCGCAUACAAAGAGAAGCGACCUCGCGAGAGCAAGCGGACCUCAUAAAGUGCGUCGUAGUCCGGAUUGGAGUCUGCAACUCGACUCCAUGAAGUCGGAAUCGCUAGUAAUCGUGGAUCAGAAUGCCACGGUGAAUACGUUCCCGGGCCUUGUACACACCGCCCGUCACACCAUGGGAGUGGGUUGCAAAAGAAGUAGGUAGCUUAACCUUCGGGAGGGCGCUUACCACUUUGUGAUUCAUGACUGGGGUGAAGUCGUAACAAGGUAACCGUAGGGGAACCUGCGGUUGGAUCACCUCCUUACCUUAAAGAAGC